AUCCGGCUGACGAAUCCUAAAUAGGACGAACGCACGUCUUGGAU
rnacentral:hammerhead_ribozyme from 1 species